AUACCUUACCUGGCAGGGGAGAUACCGUGAUCAAGAAGGCGGUUCACCCAGGGCGAGGCUCAGCCAUUGCUCAGUGCUGACCCCUGUGAAUUUCCUAAAUGAGGGAAUCUCGACUGCAUAAUUUCUGGUGGUGGGGGACUGCGUUCGCUCUUUCCCCUG
ensembl:snRNA U1 U1 spliceosomal RNA